GGUACAACUACAACAACAGCACACCGAACCGCCCAACACUCCGCUGCCCAUCGUAACACCUUUUGUUACGUUCGAGGCGAAUCCGGCCGAUCACGCCGAUCACGGCCGACCCCCUGGACACGCGACACUCGGGUACGGUGUGGUCUGGCGAAGAUGCGACUGCGGAUUUGGAGCCGGGAUCAUAGGCGUCAUAGAAUAUUUAAAAUCGAAAGCAAGCCAAGUUCUAAACUGAUCCGCGAAGGUAAGGGCUCCGGCCUGGGCCGACCGUAUCACACACACACACACACACACAUACUGUGGUAAGUGGAACAGCAAACGCAACACGCGAAACACAAUGAAGCCGAGGUGCGAGAAAUCUUUAAACUAUGCAAUGCAGUUUUUUAAUAAGAAAUAAUUAUAAAAAAACAAAGCCAGUAUGAAACGUGAUUGCUAGCAGGCCUGCUAGUCGUAAGGCCCUAGCGUGACAAUUAGCUAUUCUAACGAAUCAACACACAUUCAUACAACACAAGAAAUCUAGCUGUAAGAAAGUUUUGCUUUUAACGCGCGUUGAAGAGUUGGGAAUACAAUCAUGAGCGUUAUCGUUUGUGGAUGGAUGGACGGACAUGAAAUAAAUAACACUACAACACAAACCUAAACUACGUUGGCGCAUACCAACAACAGCAAUAACAAAGCAGCAAUCGAUAGCAUCCUCAUCAUCCAUCCUAUUUCUUCUACGAUCAAAUCCUCAAAUUUUGAAAUUACUCUGCUCGUAACUACCAACCCACGAGUUCUGAGGUGUUUAAAAAGAUAAAUUCUUAUGGAUGUAGCGCCAGGGUGGAGUUGUAGCCAGGGCGGAGAGUUUAUCAAUUUCAACGAGACGUCCACUAGCAGCAGUACAAUUAAACCACGGCACACAGAACAAUUUCGUGAUGGCAACCCAUAGAAGCAUAGCUAGGCGAGUCUUUCUUAGAAGCGGAGUUAGGAUGUAGCUACACAAACACUUCUCAAACACAUGAGGUAAACAAAUCUCUUUGCGUCCCGAGCGCUUUAGUAGUGCGGCAGUAGUAGCACCGUUAGCGUGGUUGUAGCGAGCCGAUGUGCGCAGCUUAGCAAGUCGCCGUGCGUACCAGUUUGCGUACCGUCCGCGUUUGAUUCAAUCUUCUCUUUUUUGUAACAUCUAAAACGGUUUCUGGUACUUAGUGAUUGAAAACUUCCAAUCUUCCAAUAGAGGAGGACGAUCGAGUAGUGUUGUAGCAUUAUUACGAACGAAAAUAACACCUUUCCAACAUUUCCAAUAGCGCUUAUUUCGACCCUGGUUCAGGGAGCGGUUAAGCGAUAUUCUGCAGCGUUGGAGUGACUUUUCUAGCUGGGGGAAAAGCUGCUUUAAGUUCGGUAGUGUACACUAAUAUCUGUUUAUUUCAUGGGAACCACAUUUUGCUGAUUAUCGUAUGCUUUUUUUAUUUACACAAUAGAUUUGUAUUACAAACAACCAGCCAGCAGUAUACUUAACAAUCCCACAUGUCAUAGAAAAUGAGACAAAAUUUGACAACUUCAUUACACCCUUACUCAAACCGUGAACAAAACCAUCCAAAACCGUUGGAACAAACAAACAAGCCGUAGGUGGUGAACAUCCUCCACCAAGCGAACGAGAUAUCUUAAUUAUCUCUUGCACAGAAAAUUGCCCGCCUCCCUCAUUUUCCAUUACGUGUUAUGUGCGCCAAUAGGAGCCAUUCGCCAAUCUCCUUAACCUUGUUGGCUGCAGUUACAUUCUAUCGACUGCCAACGUACAGAAAGGUUGGCAGAAAUGAGUUGCCAAGUUCGGCUUCCGUAAUCGGAUUCCGUCCCAACCUUGGGAGCCACCCAAGCCGACGGUGAGCGGACAUUAUACCACCCGGUAUUCAGCCCCGAGAACCCUCAGUGUCCAAAACAAGUCGACCGAAGCAUUUGCUGCUGCUGCUGCUGCCAAUCGUGGCCAAAAUUUGUUUCACUUUUCAGCACAAAAACUCCCGGUAACUACGACUUGGACUUUCGUUCGAAAUGGUUGCCUAGUGGCCCGGUACGGGUACUUCUCGUUCCUAGGAGUCAGUGAAGCUGAAGUCUAACUAGCCCAGGACUGGCGAAGGGACAGCAAACAGGGACGAUGACGAUAUAAUUUUUCGACCGUUGGUUACGAAAGUUGCUCCAAACGAACCAAAUCCCUGCGCGCAGCUCGGUUCGGUAGUAUGUGUCACCGCCACAGCGAAAGUGGUAGUGGCUCCACCACCCGUACGGGGCAGAUUGAAAAAUAGUCCGAUUUUGGAAGCAAAAAAUUGUUUUCCGUUCGUCCUGUGGCUCUUGGCAGAAAUCGUUUUGCAUGAUGCUGCUGUCGAAAUCGGGGUAGCAUCGGGGAAGGAGAAGGCAUCGUUCACCCAGGUGGAAAAAAUGUCCACAACAAACAAAUCCAAUUUUCCCUGUGUGUACUUUUCUGUAUUCGGGUAUGGCCUCGUGGGGGCGGGGGGGGGGUGAGGGUGAGCCAACAUCUUCCGCCCCGUACGAAUCAUGGAUCGCGUGUCUAGACCUUCGCGCCAGCUAAACUUUGGAAGGAUGUGUUUGCUUAUUUUCCAUUGAACUGAGUGGAGACGCUCAUACAAAUCAUAAAAUUUGUUACUAGUUUCCACACCCCCGUUCCCCGCUUUACCAAAAAAUAACCAUAUUUCUUUGUAAUUAAUUUCCAUACUGAUUGAAAGUUUGUUUGUGCAAUACCUCACCAUGGGGAAAUGGAAAUCAUAAAUACGGUAACGGCUGCCUGUACGAACCCUACCCUCAAUGCGAUGGCAACACAAAAAAAGUUUCACCAUAGCCGCGGCACGCCAGGCCACCGCUGGCUGAAGGUCAUGAAGUCAACGGCUCUUCUGACUGCCGCACUCCCGGGGCGGUGUUCCACCACCACCGAUUGGGUUUCAUUUUUGCCGAAGCUUUCAUUCGCUUAUCCAUCACUUUUCCAUCUCCGAGUCCGGGUCCAUCAUGACGCACGUUAUUUUCUAGGAAUUUCCUUUCCCCCCCCCCCUCCCUGACAUGGUGGCAUAUUUUACGGGAUAUGAAUACUAAGAGAUGUUGAGAUAGCCCCGUGAAGGUAACGCGAGUGUUGUCGGAAGGCUGUUGUACACUUGCCAACAUAGGACUAGCAAACAUUGUAUCGUUGUGUGAAUCUUUUCUGUCAAAGUUGAACCAAUUGCCUGCAAACGUUUCUAACAUCAGCAAUAACAUACUAUUAUUUGUUCGGUUAAAUUUGUUGCCAACACCGGCUCGAGAUAAUGCAAACAGUACAAUCGCAAGUCCAUGCCCAGCACUGUCGCUUUUAUGGAAAAUAAAUUGCAAACAUCUUUCUCCGUGCCAAACAAGAGUGAAAAAAAACGCAAACAAAAAGUUGAUUAGAUCGCUUCCGUUUGCUUGCCCAAAAAAAACGGUCGAGCCUGUGGGGCACACGCACACACACGCGCACGCAAUACAACAACCACGUGUGAGGGAAAAAUCGAUCGGGGGAUGACAUUUUUCUGGCAAUCCUUUCCGGCUCUUCUGUUCCGGUGAGUGUGUGAGUGUAUGUGCUAUGUUUGGGGAAACGAGGUUCUGCUAUCUUGCUUUGCCUCCACGCCACCAGGUUACAUCUGGCAACUCAGGUUUGGGGGUUUUGCUGGCCACGUGCUGCUGGUGGGAUUAAAUUGUGAAAUAUCCAGAGCUUAGUGUCCCCAGACGACCCCCCAAAUAUACAGUCCCCGUUUGUGUCGGACAGGUCGUUCCAUCCGCCCCAUUGACUACCUGUCAAUUGGUGAAUGAAUUGUUUAAAAUCAACCCUUCCGUUUCCGUUGCGGACCUCACGGUCGGUCGUUUCGAUUCUCUGCAUUUGCUGCUGCCCCCUCCCGAACAGAGCGCAUUUGUGCGGUAUUAGCUUCCUUAACACAUCAAUUUAAAGCACAGUGAACACAGUGGGGAGAAGCAACAAACCCCCCCCCUCCCCCACCCCGUUUCUCGCCGGUCCCGCAGGUUAACCGAGUUAGCGAGGUUAGCGAGUGAAAGCGCCGGCAAAGCGAGGAUCUUUGUUCCCAAAUCUGUCUGCUGUCCCUUUUUUUGAGAUGCUUCCUUCCAGUUUCCUUCCCAACCGAUGGGCGAAACCUUUUGCUUCGAUUCACAACAACAUCCCCGGAUCGAUUUGUAAUGCCCGGUUCGUACACCCUCAUCACCUCGGUCGCCGUGCUCGGUUGUGUGAUGCCGUAGAUAAUAUUUCAAAUUGCUCCCCAGGGGGCUAUGAACAAUGCAGCAUAACGAUACCCGGUUUCUUUUGUUUUCCUUUUGCGUUUGGCUAAAAUUAGGUUCAUAAAUUUCAACUCCACCAACGACCAACCCACCAAAUGCACGCGAAAGCUCUCGCCAGUCGCGCUACCAAUUUGUCGGACGUACGGAAAGCUGUAGCGCACCGAGCUGUAUUGUGCGGUGCUGCCCUGGGCUUCGACAUCAAACGCUGGCACUUGUUUUGUCGUGAAUAUCAAACGAAACCGAAACGAAAUUCCAAUUGGAGCGAACAACUUACCACGGCGGUUGUACGUUUUGUUUCCUUUUCCUAUAGCAAGUACGGUGACAUUUUCGACCGAGUGUUCACUUUCCUUCUUCCAUUUAAUGAGAGAGUCGCUACUCUCCGCGGCUACAACGUCGCAACCUCCUUCGAUUCGUGCGCAUUUUAGCCGGUCUCGUAUCGCUGAACAAAAAGCAGUAGAUAGGAGAUAGGGGCGUGUGCUUUGGCUUUGAUCCUUGCCGCCGGUUGAAGCAGUUCAAAGAAUCGUACAGUGCACGUGCCGUCUUUUGUGUGAAUAAGCACACGUCUUCCCGCUUUUGGCUGAACGCUGUACGCAUCGUCAAAUAUUAAGCACAUAAUUAAAACAAUAACAAAGAUUUAAGACCACCCACGGUGACAUUUCGUGACACACGGUACGGCAAAAUGUGGCUUUGUAUGGGCGCUUGAAGCGCUUGGAGAGUGAAAUGUUUGGUAGAACGAGUACAAUCGCAUUGUUGGGAUCGGUAUGUUAUGCUCUAACAGCAGGAUUUAAAUACAUUCCCCUGGUAACAGAAGGUUGGAUUGUUCUUAUUAAAGCCCGAGUUACAGCUCGAAUGAAAAUGAAAGUGGAAUUUUGUUUUUUUUUGUUUUGUUUGCUAUAUUCCAUUAAAUAUCGAUCAAAAUAUGGCACCAAAAGAAAGGAAUUUAGAUUUUCCAAUUAUUUAGACUAUGAAACGUGUUUGAAUAAUGAAUAAAAAGCAUUUACUUGUGAUUAACCGCUGAAAAUUAUGUUCUUACCGUGAACAAAGCGGGGCAUCACAAGUAAAUGCUUUUAAUUAAUUAUUGUAACAUUUCUAAAGAGUCUAAAUAGUUUGGGAAUUUAAUGAAAUAUAGCAGAAAACCCCAAACAUUCACGUUCAAUUUCACUGGAGCUGUACCUCGGGCUUAAAAUGUAAAACGCCUAAAGGUAUGCAACCUGACUGGUUGAUUGCCUGAAGCUGUUUUCAUAAGGACAUUAUUUAUCGAACAAUAAUUAAAACAAUUCUUCAAACAAUUUACAAUAGACUCUUACUUCUGCAAAGAAAAAAUCAUUUAAAAGGUGCUUUUGAAUUUCCAUCCCUUCUACACUCUCAAUCUGGCGUCUUAAAACCUUCGACAUCUUUAUCAAAUAUUUACGCUUGAUUGACUUGCAAAAACAAAAGCUCGUCGUUUGUGCUUUACCCUUCCUACUGUUGCUUUGCUCAGCCGUCCACUUAAAAAAGGGAUUCAUAAUUUUUGCGGAAAUCUCUCUUCACAAGCCUUCACCUGAGCCGUACAAUUUGCCUGUUAAAAGCCCAUUCAAACUCAACCACCGACACUGACACUGAUCGCAUCAAAAGAGGAAAAAAAGGCUAACACGCUCUUUGAAGAACUUUGCAAACCGGAUGGGCCCACCGGUUCCUUCUUAUAACGAUCCGCUUACGCAAAAGCGGCCGUUUCUUUCGACCCAACCCAGCCAGCCAGUCCUCGAUACAGGAGGACUUCAGGCUUCAGCCACUCGAACUGCCACGAACCACGGCCACUCAUCGUUCAUUGGUGAAAUUGUCACCGUGUAAAGCAAAAAAACAAGUGGCACAGAAGAGUGCAAGGAGUUGAGCAAGAAAAUGGCUGAUAAAAAUACUCGACGAAUGGUGGAAAAAAAGACGCCGAACCAAAACAAACGGAGCAAAGCAACAGUAGCAAACAAAAAAAAACACCACCCCGUCACCAAACAAAGAGGUAAGGCUACCGUCGAUAAUUUCAUUGUUUGGCAGUGGAAAUAAUAGAUCGAUGAGACGGCAAAGAGUAGCAACAACAACAACAACAGCAAAAAUGACACCCCCACACAAAAGGGACUGCGUGGCUGAACGGUUGCAGCUGGCUGAGGAAUAAGCCCAUCCUUAUACAAAGCACAGACACACACACACAAAAACCGAUCCCCCAAUCGGCCGUGCUCGAGUGGAAAAUGGAGGGAUCAAUUUCUUUUUUUUUUUUUUGCCUGCACUACGAAAAGUAACAGUAAUCCGAUGGGAAAUCGGCCAUGGAAAAAGCUUACUGCGAUGGGAUUGGUUCGGUGCGGUGGGAUCGGGCACUGGACGACACAUUUUUGUCAUCGAUUUAAUGUAUCCCACAAUGGUUCGGCAUCGGUCCGGUCGGUGUUGGGUUUCGGCGUGGACACGGGGCAGUUUCCGGAACAGGGGUGCAUGUGUGAGGCCGGAUAUUAUCUCCUGCUCGCCAAUACCUUUCGCUCCCUCGCUUUGUAACGGGGGAAACGGGGGAGAGAGGGAGUGUGAAGCAUGGUUGAUACGAAGCGAUGAAAAGCUUCCUACGACAUACCGUACACUUUAUGGGUCGUAAUUGAAUUUCGUGUAGUUCAAUGGCACCAACGAGCCGGGCCGUAGCAAAGUUUAUGUGUGCCAGGGGACAUUUUGUCGAAUGUUUUUUUUUUAUUCUUUUCCUUUUUUAAACCGACGAGCUUUACAAGCAUGCAAAAAAUUAAACAUCAUCAAGCACAUCACGUUAGGUUGUGCUACCAUUUGACCCUAAUUGAUGAGGGCAGAUGUUUUUCUUGUAUCGUUAUAACUUACAGAAUGACCGCAAUUUCGCCUUACUACUCGGAACAGCAACGAACCUGGACCUGUGUGGUCGUGGAAGCGGUGUGAAUACCGUUCGAACGACAAGGCACUAGACAGUUUUUUUUAAAGUAUUUUUUACCUUUUUUGCCAUUCUUCGAAACUCGGUAAUAUGAAUUCAAUGGAUCGUCUUAGGUUUGGCAUUACAAUUACAAUGAUAUGGUCUGCAUGAGCAUUUAUAGCCAAUUUCGGGCACUUACAUGUUUUUUUUUUUUUAUUGAAGCUAAAACACUAGCUGGGUUUUUACAAAAUUGGCCUUAAAAAUGUAUUCCUUACUAAAUGUUUCACUGUGAAUGGUUCAUAAUGAGUUCAAAUAAAUUUAGAAUAUUUUGCAACUUUGAUGCUAAUUAUAAACAAAGUGCUCGAAAUCUAAAAUACACAGUUUUGAGUGUUCUUCUAUGAUUCGAACAAUUUUAGGAAUUUUUAGCUUUCCUUUACAUAAAUGCUUAAAGUAAGGGUAGGAGAAUUAGGGGAUUGAACUUUCUAUCACAAUCAAGGCACCUUGGAACGUCCAAAUGUCUUAGAUUUAGAUAUUAAGCACAUAAGAUGGUCAAUGUAGGACAAAGGCUGUUGCGGUUGCUUCAGUUGCAUCGUUCAAGGCAAUAUUAAAUAUUAAAAUUCAGCGCACUCAAAUCAAGCAAGUCUACAUGCGUGGUACAGAAAAUGACAACUUGGGACAUCUUUUUUAAAAGUUGAAACGACUUUCCUUCAAUAUAAAACAGAACAAGCUAAGCUUGCUGCUGUUCUUGCAUGCCUUUUUAAGACAUGUUGUAAUACAAAUUGCAUACUUUAAGGCGGAUAACUCCAUCACAACAAUAACUAUAGUUACCAACUUUGGACUUUGAUGUGGCCAAUCUGUAGAAAGGAUACCUUUCGCUUUAUCGCAAACAAUAAACUGCCGCGGAUGUUGGAUGGAAAAAAAACUCGGUAAAAGAAAAUACCUUUUCUCCCACGUCCCACGCUCCCAUGACUCUCCACAUCAUAAAACAGCAGGCAAGACUAAUUUGCUGAGAGUGUCAUAAUCUUCUUUUCUCUUUUAAUUGUUCACCAUCACAAACCUCUGCCCACCACCCUUUUAUCCAUAGCACUUUUGAGCGAAAGCACGGUUUUGCAAAACUAUACAAGUGUGCAGCAAACACUUCCCCCCCCCCCAUGCUUUUGUCUUUGCUUUCUAACCGGUAACGGUGUGAGCAAACCAUUUUCCCCCGUUGUUGCUUUCGCGUUCGCACACAAAGGGGGGGGGGUUAAACUUACCCUUCCUGCGCGCAACUUGCAAACCUCUGCCAAAUGGAAAAUGGCAAACUGUGCAGUGAAAGCAUCCGCACACUGACUGAGUAAGAAAACGUAAAUACCAAAUCAAACUCACCCAUCCCACACUUCUCAAUCCAUUGCGAAGCGUACAUAAUUCUUUCUACCAUCUUUUUGCCCGUGUAUUUAUUUACCUGCCACGCUUCGGGAGCGCGCGUUUCAUGCUGCGCUUUAUGAUUGGUAGGGCAUACGUUACGUUCCAAGAAAACGAUUGAAACCUCCAGUCGGCUCCUAGGGAAGCGAUACCGCAGUGCAAAGUGCGGUUCGUUUUGCAAACCGAAAGUUAAUGAGAUUUUCGAAAUUCUGAUUUGAAAAAAUAAGCUCUCUGCUGGGAAAGAUUACAUCGCGGGUAUCAAAAAUUACUAAACCAACGUUUUUAAAAGCCUCGUACUGGGUAAAUUAAUAUCUCUCACCAAACACCAUUCCUUGGCAGCUAAUUGAUGUGCGGGAAAGUGCCAGACCCGUCCUUUAAUUCGCUAAUUGUGCUUAAGCGCUGUUCGACAACACUUUCUACCAUCGGCUCGCCAACUCGGACCAAAGGGGGGAGGGUGGACAAUUAAGAAGUGACUUUCGCCCGAAACUGGCAUCGUUUGCCCUGUUUCACUCGAACCCAUUAGGCGGUGGUAUCGCAACACACAAAACUCGGAUCGAUCGUGAGCGCUCAAUUCCACGAACUAGUAACCAGCUGUUAGAGCUUUUCGCGUGCUGGUACUAUUGACUGACGGCGGUGUGGCGUUGAUUGCAUGGAGAUAGAGAAAGAGAAAAAGAGGGAGAGAGAGAGAGAGAGAGAGAGAGAGAGCUUUUGUCAAUAAAAACGAUCCUAUGCAGGGUUGAUUGUUUGCGCUUUAGAUAUCGCUUUGCGUGCAAUCCUUUACCUUUCAGCAAACAUCAAAAAAGCUUAUUUUUGCUGCUUUUCUACUCUUUCACCCACACACACAAACAGAAACUUUCUCAAACUUUGUCACAAGUUUGUUUUUCGAUGUACUUUUUCCUUGUUUGUGUGUGCGUUUAAGCGAUUCUACCCUAGAAGACCGGUAUUGGAAACUCACCCAACAUAUUUUACACGUGAAGAAUACUUUUCUUAUUUUUUCACGAUUAUAUUUUUUGUUCAAAAUACUUUCUACUACGGUUGAUGCUCAUUAACGGUAUGUUCUUUUCGUUGUUUUUUUUCUGCGUUGGUUUUGGUUUUUGGUCCCUUACCCGUGGGUUUUAGCAAAUUUCCUCCUUAUUUGCUCCUUCCUUUGCGGAUGCGGUUGCUCAUUAAGAAUGAUGGGAAGGUGUUCAUGUUUCAUGUUACGUUAUACGCUUGCUACAAUACUCCACCACAGCAGCAACAAGUCACUCCACCCGUUCCUCCAAAUAAUAACACAAUACAAAAUCUUGCAAUAGAAUUAUAGAAUUGUUAGAAGUUGUUAUAGAAUUAUAGAAGAGCAACCAAAAAUAGAGCGAACAACAACACACAACAGAACUAAGCUAGAAAUCCCAGACAGCGAAGUGCUAAGUAUGUCACACACUCGGCUAGUGCUCGACACUCGACGGCCGCUUCCGGUAAGGCACGCGCCAAUAUUACAGACAAAUAAAAAAAAAAAAACAUUAGAUAAAAAUACAAACAAAUACAACGCUACGCACCACGCGCAUCCAAAACAAAACAGCCUAACCUUUUUUUCCCCGCUGCUAACCCGAUACCGACUCCAAUCAAAUCGACGAUCGGCCCACUUCGGGCACGCUUUUGGUCCUGGGACGAGAGAUAUCUUUUCCUCUGCCAGGCAGCAGGCAGGCUGGCACCGUCGCAACUGCUUGGUUUGGACGCAAAACGAUGGCAGUGGCAGUGUGUAAUAAAUGGGGACGGAACGGUGCGCCCGCAUCGACAACCGCCAACCCCCCUCCCAAAGGUGAUGAUAGGCUAGGAAGUUUUACAUUCAAAAAAAAAAAAGGGAGUACAGCACCGGGAGCAAGAAUUUGUGUGCUACUACUAGGUAUGGUAUGUAAAAAUAUGGUAUGUAAAACAAAUAGAAACGGAAUGAAUAAUGUAGGUAAGAGAAACGUGAAUUCAAAGUGAACUAAAAAAAAAGGGGUGGGAUAGAAAAGUGAAGCCAACUGAAAGGAAAUGUCCAGCAAGGAGGGCUAAAAUCCUUUCUGCAUCGAAACCGAACACUGGCAUGGAAGGGAAAAACUCGCAAAACCAAAAACAAACAAACAACCAAAAACAACAACUUAAAUCGAUAAAAUUCCACAGUGCCUUGUUUGCUGCGCAUAUAAGAGAAAGCUUAUUAUAAAAAGAGAGGACGUCAGGACAAACCGUUGUCAAAAUGGGGCGCAUCCGAAAACUUAACUAACUACACAUAAACACACACACACACACACACACACACACACACACACACACACACACACACACACACAAUACAUACACACAAAGAAAGUGGCAAAAGAAGAGAAAACAAGCAUGUUAAGUGUGCAAUAGGUUGAACGGCAGUAAAGGAAGUUCCAGCAGCUUUUUGCGCGGUGCAAUGUGCGGUCGUUUCAGAAAAAAGAUGAUGGUGAGAUUUAAAAACAUAAACAAAAAAAAGGACGUGGUUUAAAGACAAAGUAUAUCGUGGGACUUGUGCCGAUAUGGGCAGGGGUAGAUAGACAAUGCGAAGGACUGCACUUUGCGCUCGUGCAUAUGCGUUUUUCCUAAAUCCCAUCCAAAAGCUUUACCUUUAUACGCGAGCAGUAUGUAGGAAUAAUAGUAAAUAGUAGUAGUAGUAGUAGUAGUUAUAGCAAUAGAUAAUCCACUUUUUGCUUUGUUGUUAAACAGUGAGCAAAAUUCGCAACAAAAAAAUUAAAAACAAAAAACACGCAGAAUACACACAGAUUAUGCAUAUCGCGAUAUAAACAUAAAAACUCGAUUGGUUUUUCCCUUCUACCAAAACACUAAAAACGGAUAACCUAAGGUUUGUUAAUGGCGCCUGUCCAGGUUGAAUAUUUAAAAGAAAUGAACAAAAAACAAAUCUAGCGUUAAGCCAGUCUCCUUCCAACAAAUCUAGUUCUAGUUUACUAAUUAAUUGAAUCCUAGUAGCCUCGCGUACGGAUUAGGUAGAGCAUGUUUGCGGGAGUCCGAGUGAGCCGCGUUACAAAAACAAAAUCAGCUAGCAAGUAGGUGUCGACAUGCAACACGCUCAACCACGUGGUUAAACUGUUUGCUUCGUUGUCUCUCUUUCUCGCUCUCUCUCUCUCUAUCUCUUUAACUCUACAACAUAUUUGUCUCUUUCGAUGCUUUUCCGUUUUUCCCGCAAACAAACUCGAAAGCUCAAAGCGUUAAUCGAUACUGUGUUUUUUCCUAUUGGAGAUUUUAAUCAUAUAAGAAAGUUACGCAUCAACUGAGAGGAAUUUGAGGAUGCAGUCAAACUGCAAAACCUCACCAAUAAAAUCUCGCCUAGAAAGCUAGCUAGGAACAUUCUGAAUAGCUGCACCCAAAGCAAACACACCCAAAGAAAGGGUCUAAGGCUAAGUAUAGACCCAUUAGUCCUACAAAUACGUGCAAUAAUGUAAAAUAGUGUUGCUUUUUUCAUCUACGAUUGUUGAACCUCUUCAGAUGUUUUACGGUUUUCCAACGAAUUGUUCUUUAUUUUUACUAGAAACAUUAAAGUAACAAUGCCAAUUACAAACAAAACACACUCACACAACCAUACAAAAUGCUACUGUUUUCACCUAUUAAAAGCGAUAUAGAUAUAGCAUUAGAAGAAAAAAUAGCAACAUGCAAAUAGUAAUAUAUGAACGGCAGGUUCAUGUGGAGGUAUGCCCGUUAGCACUCAGCAACUUAUCUCAAACUCCCAAAAACAAAAAAAACAGCAACCAAAUACCAAACUUUACGCCACUAAGCCCGUGUAGUUUCUAAGCUCAACUCUUUAAAAGAAGCAAAACCGAAACCGACUACUAAAUGCCCAAUUCAUUGCGCUCCAGAACGGUGGAACAAAACUAAUUCAAACAUAUUCUUAUAAAAUGAGAAACGAAACACGCAUGCACACUAAUUGAAGCUUUAUUCAUUUUUUAUUGAAAAUAUUGAAAAAGAAUGUGAGUGGACGAAUUCCAUCAGCAACAAAAAAACUAAAGAGAGAAAAAACUAGCUAUAGGUAUAGGGAAAGAAACAAACAUACCGAAAUUAUUCUGAGAAGCAAAGCUACUAAAUUGAAACUGAAUCUAGAGGAAAGAAAAAAAUCAAGAAGAUAAGGAGACAAGAAAAGAAUCAAACAAACAGAAUGCAAUACUCGACGGACCCUGCUUGAAGAAGGGUGGUGGGGAUAGGGGAGGGGAGGGAUGGGAAGAAAAUAAUUCAACAUGAUAAACUACUUUAAAUGGUUUUGACAUCCGACAGGAAAAUUAUCUUAAAGAAAAUAAAUACCACUUAAUGAAAUAAAACAAA